GGUAACUUGUGGACAUGAAGACUGGAACAACUCAUAUAGUGUGUGUUGUGUAUCAGCUUCUUCUUUCGUGAUCAACAAGAUGGGAGUUAUAUGACAGCACUAUAUUU